UAUCAAGAUCUACAAUAUAUCGAAAAUCCAGACGAUUUCACUAAAAUCCAAUUCCCAUAAGAUUAUUGCGGGGUUCUUUGCAUUGGUAUGCGACAAAAACAAAUGU